CACGUAGGGUGCGAGCGUUGUCCGGAAUUAUUGGGCGUAAAGAGCUCGUAGGCGGUCUGUCGCGUCUGCUGUGAAAACUCAGGGCUUAACCCUGAGCUUGCAGUGGGUACGGGCAGACUAGAGUGCGGUAGGGGAGACUGGAAUUCCUGGUGUAGCGGUGAAAUGCGCAGAUAUCAGGAGGAACACCGGUGGCGAAGGCGGCAUUCUGGACCAUUACUGACGGCUGAG
rnacentral:rRNA from 1 species